UAGGGAAUCUUCGGCAAUGGGGGGAACCCUGACCGAGCAACGCCGCGUGAGUGAAGAAGGUUUUCGGAUCGUAAAGCUCUGUUGUUAAGGAAGAACGAGUGUGAGAAUGGAAAGUUCAUACUGUGACGGUACUUAACCAGAAAGGGACGGCUAACUACGUGCCAGCAGCCGCGGUAAUACGUAGGUCCCGAGCGUUGUCCGGAUUUAUUGGGCGUAAAGCGAGCGCAGGCGGUUAGAUAAGUCUGAAGUUAAAGGCAGUGGCUCAACCAUUGUAGGCUUUGGAAACUGUUUAACUUGAGUGCAGAAGGGGAGAGUGGAAUUCCAUGUGUAGCGGUGAAAUGCGUAGAUAUAUGGAGGAACACCGGUGGCGAAAGCGGCUCUCUGGUCUGUAACUGACGCUGAGGCUCGAAAGCGUGGGGAGCGAACAGGAUUAGAUACCCUGGUAGUCCACGCCGUAAACGAUGAGUGCUAGGUGUUAGGUCCUUUCCGGGACUUAGUGCCGCAGCUAACGCAUUAAGCACUCCGCCUGGGGAGUACGACCGCAAGGUU
rnacentral:rRNA from 1 species